GAAGGUUACCCUGGCAACAGAGACAGGACAUCCAUGCUGAGUAGGGACAUAGACUAGUAGGAGGGGCAUGGAGACCAGGGUGAUUGUCUUGGGUACCAAGUCUGCCUUUCUGCUCCACAGCUGGGCACCUCAGCUCUACGGAGGAAGGAGGCCUGCAGAGAAUGGAGAAAAGAUACCAUUUGGAGUUACAAAGGGCUCUGGAGCACAGGUAAUGAGUGAAGAUGCAGCUGGGAAGCACCCCACUCUUCCAUGGCCCCCAGCACACGCUCCAUCCUCUGCUGCAGCCCUUACCUAGGUUCAGAGAAGUUAAGCUAUUGCCUAUGUCAUGAGCAGCAGGUUUGACCUUGGCAUUCAGUAGGUGCCCAAUGUAAUGAAGACUUUCUACAUACCUGUUCACAGCGGUUGCAUAGUACAGCCUUUCAGAGCAAGACAAAUUCACAC